rnacentral:rRNA from 1 species
CAAUAGCGUAUAUUUAAGUUGCUGCAGUUAAAAAGCUCGUAGUUGGAUUUCGGGUGGGAAUGGCCGGUCCGCCGUUUCGGUGUGCACUUGCUACGCCCACCUUGCUGCCUGGGACGUGCUCUUGAGUUCACGCUCGGGACACGGAGUCGGCGAGGUUACUUUGAGUAAAUUAGAGUGUUCAAAGCAGGCCUACGCUCUGAAUACAUUAGCAUGGAAUAACACGAUAGGACUCUGGCCUAUCUUGUUGGUCUGUAGGACCGGAGUAAUGAUUAAGAGGGACAGUCGGGGGCAUUCGUAUUUCAUUGUCAGAGGUGAAAUUCUUGGAUUUAUGAAAGACGAACUACUGCGAAAGCAUUUGCCAAGGAUGUUUUCAUUAA